ensembl:snRNA U6 U6 spliceosomal RNA
AUUGCUUUGGUAGCACAUAUAUGAAAAAAUUGGAAUAAUAAUGAGAAGAUUAGCAUGGCCCCUGCCCAAGGAUGAAACACAAAUUUGUGAAGCAUUCCAUGUUUUU